rnacentral:lncRNA from 1 species
UCCCAUAGGAGUAGUUGGGAAAUGUGACGGAAGUGCCACCUCUGUGGGCUGAAGCACACGGGACAGUUUUAAUGGCCCAGGAAGAGGUUUUGCCCCAGCUGCAGGCCCAUGCAGAGGGAAGAGAAACCAUGUGCCGCCGUGCAGAGUCCAACCCCGGCGGGGUCUCCUCUAUACGGGUGAACCACCAACCUACAGGGGAGUUGGCACAGACACAGCAUCGAAGCAAAGAAACUAGAGCUCUGGCCUCCGAGUGAGCUGAGAUUGGGCUGGACUCACGGCCCAAUCCUCGGUAAAACCUUGAGCCUGAGUUUCCUUGUUUAUAAAAUGGACAUCAUAGUACUUAGUACCUAUGAGGAAACUGACACAAAGCACAGCACUCGUUUAGUGCAGUGGUUGGC